rnacentral:rRNA from 1 species
GGCGAACGCUGGCGGCGUGCCUAAUACAUGCAAGUUGAGCGCUGAAGGUUGGUACUUGUACCAACUGGAUGAGCAGCGAACGGGUGAGUAACGCGUGGGGAAUCUGCCUUUGAGCGGGGGACAACAUUUGGAAACGAAUGCUAAUACCGCAUAAAAACUUUAAACACAAGUUUUAAGUUUGAAAGAUGCAAUUGCAUCACUCAAAGAUGAUCCCGCGUUGUAUUAGCUAGUUGGUGAGGUAAAGGCUCACCAAGGCGAUGAUACAUAGCCGACCUGAGAGGGUGAUCGGCCACAGUGGGACUGAGACACGGCCCAAACGCCUACGGGAGGCAGCAGUAGGGAAUCUUCGGCAAUGGACGAAAGUCUGACCGAGCAACGCCGCGGGAGUGAAGAAGGUUUUCGGAUCGUAAAACUCUGUUGGUAGAGAAGAACGUUGGUGAGAGUGGAAAGCUCAUCAAGUGACGGUAACUACCCAGAAAGGGACGGCUAACUACGUG